CGGGGUGCACCAGGCGCGAAAACUUUACAAUGCGGGAAACCGUGAUAAGGGGACACCGAGUGCCAGCAUCAUAUGCUGGCUGUCCAGGUGUGUAAAAUACACCUGUUAGCAAGGGCCGGGCAAGACCGGUGCCAGCCGCCGCGGUAACACCGGCGGCCCGAGUGGUGAUCGUGAUUAUUGGGUCUAAAGGGUCCGUAGCCGGUUUGGUCAGUCCUCCGGGAAAUCUGACGGCUCAACCGUUAGGCUUUCGGGGGAUACUGCCAGGCUUGGAACCGGGAGAGGUAAGAGGUACUACAGGGGUAGGAGUGAAAUCUUGUAAUCCCUGUGAGACCACCUGUGGCGAAGGCGUCUUACCAGAACGGGUUCGACGGUGAGGGACGAAAGCUGGGGGCACGAACCGGAUUAGAUACCCGGGUAGUCCCAGCCGUAAACGAUGCUCGCUAGGUGUCAGGCAUGGCGCGACCGUGUCUGGUGCCGCAGGGAAGCCGUGAAGCGAGCCACCUGGGAAGUACGGCCGCAAGGCUGAAACUUAAAGGAAUGG
rnacentral:rRNA from 1 species